rnacentral:rRNA from 1 species
AUUGAACGCUGGCGGCAUGCCUAACACAUGCAAGUCGAACGAGUGGCGGACGGGUGAGUAAUGUCUGGGAAACUGCCUGAUGGAGGGGGAUAACUACUGGAAACGGUAGCUAAUACCGCAUACCAUCGGAUGUGCCCAGAUGGGAUUAGCUAGUAGGUGGGGUAAAGGCUCACCUAGGCGACGAUCCCUAGCUGGUCUGAGAGGAUGACCGGCCACACUGGAACUGAGACACGGUCCAGACUCCUACGGGAGGCAGCAGUGGGGAAUAUUGCACAAUGGGCGCAAGCCUGAUGAAGCAAUGCCGCGUGGAUGAAGAAGGCCUUCGGGUUGUAAAGUACUUUCAGCGGGGAGGCGUUACCUGAAGAAGAAGCAACGGCUAACUCCGUGCCAGCCGCCGCGGUAAUAC